UCGCGCUAGGCGGGGAGAUAGCGGUGCCCUGAACCCGCAAUCCGCUCUAGCGGGGCUGAACUCCCUCCCGAGGGAGGCGACCGGAGGUCGCUCUCUUCGGCGGCGGCGUUGAGGGCCCGGGUCCCGCGCGGUGUCGGCUCGUGAACCAGGUCAGAUCCGGAAGGAAGCAGCCUUAAGCGGACCCCGGCAGGCGCAGCGGGAGCUCCCGGUGCCGGAGCCGCCGGCCGCGGCAGACGGCCCCCGGCCCCUCUCGACGGAGGGUGCGCGA
rnacentral:SRP_RNA from 1 species